GGAAAUAAAUAAUUCAUUUACCUCAAGACUAUAGAAAAUAUAUAAGCCACAAGAGCAGGAAAGUUAUCAGAGACUUUAGAUACUUAUUUGUAACAGUGAGAAUAACUAAAAAGUGCUAAACAUAUUACUAAAAACAUUUACAAUAAUAAUUACUAGUGGUUAACUAUUUAGCACAGCACACUUGGAACUCACAGAGAAGCUAACUAAAUUCAGAUCUUUCGGCAAAGGUCACCCCAAAUCAUGACAACUAAAAAAAAUAAUAUUAGCGUUGGCUACAUCACCAGAAGAAACUUACGAUGGGUCCUAAUUUGGCCAAAUAUUGGAGAAGAAGUUAAUCCUGGAAUAUCAUACUACAUCAGAAUUGGUAUAUUCUGCUUUACAACUGGAAUAUUAUAUAGUUCUGUAUUAAUGCAUCUUAUUCUCUCUUUAAGAAAUCAAUGGGAGAUUUCCCUCAGCGAAGAUAUUGCAAUUGUGAUUUCGUUGUCUGGCAUUUAUUAUAUAACAUUUACUUUUAUAUACAA